rnacentral:rRNA from 1 species
CCUACGGGAGGCAGCAGUGGGGAAUAUUGCACAAUGGGCGCAAGCCUGAUGCAGCAACGCCGCGUGAGGGACGACGGCCUUCGGGUUGUAAACCUCUUUUAGUAGGGAAGAAGCGAAAGUGACGGUACCUGCAGAAAAAGCACCGGCUAACUACGUGCCAGCAGCCGCGGUAAUACGUAGGGUGCAAGCGUUAUCCGGAAUUAUUGGGCGUAAAGAGCUCGUAGGCGGUUUGUCACGUCUGCUGUGAAAACUGGAGGCUCAACCUCCAGCCUGCAGUGGGUACGGGCAGACUAGAGUGCGGUAGGGGAGAUUGGAAUUCCUGGUGUAGCGGUGGAAUGCGCAGAUAUCAGGAGGAACACCGAUGGCGAAGGCAGAUCUCUGGGCCGUAACUGACGCUGAGGAGCGAAAGCAUGGGGAGCGAACAGGAUUAGAUACCCUGGUAGUCCAUGCCGUAAACGUUGGGAACUAGAUGUAGGGACCAUUCCACGGUUUCUGUGUCGCAGCUAACGCAUUAAGUUCCCCGCCUGGGGAGUACGGCCGCAAGGCUAAAACUCAAAUGAAUUGACGG